ensembl:lncRNA
GAAGGGCAAACUGGCGCUAAAAUCACAAGAAAGAUGCAGACGCACAAAACAGGCGUUAGUGGUGCAGACACCGCUGAAAACGAAACCCCGUCAUCUGAAGUUGAACUCGAAGGAAAUGAAGGGAACCCCUGGCCAUAUUCAUGCUUUAUUGUGCAGUGUAAGCUGUGCUUUCCUAGGGAGACCAAACUAGCAGCUUAUAAAAUCUCGACAUCAACCCUUCGCAAGCAUGUAGAGCGUUUGAAGCUUACGGGAUCAGUUGGAUUGCUGGUUUGGACCUGUGGUGUGGGGCCUCCACCUUUGGCUUUAAUAAGCUGUGAGUAACAAAUUUGAAAUAAAACCUUAACUGGAGUAACACAAAAGACCAAACGCAAGACAGGAGACCACGGGCAAGAUCAUGACCCCCCCACCCCACCCCAGGAGCAGAUUCCAGAUGCUCCAAAAUAAACACAUAAAAUCCAGGAGGUUCAGGUCCAUGUGCCAAAGGAGGGCCUGGAGACUGAGGCAGAGCUGGCCGAGCAGGGUGCCAGGGUGGAGCAGAAGACCACCACAGAGCAGACGGGAUUGAAGAUUCCCAUGGAGGAGUGGAUGACCAGAGCAUAGUCCAGACCGCAGCCAUGAUGGAGGCCCACGGUGGAGUCAAUGGAUGGAGGAGCCAUGGUGGAAGAAGGGCUAUUGCCACCAGGGGCCCAACUGACGGAGACAGAGCCUAGGGCAGAGACAGAGAGACACAGAGCCAAGGCAACACUGAGGAUUCGGAGGGCCAUGGUGGAGCUUACGGCCCAGGUGACUGAGGCGCAGGUGAAGAUCUGGAAGACUGUGGUGGAGCCGGAGCGACAGAGAACCAAGGUGCAGCCCAGGGGAGAGAGGAGUCCAAUGGAGCCAGAGGAGUGAAGGGACGAGGCGAAGCUGGAGGAGUGUAGUCCUUAAAGGAGCCGUAUGUAGGAUUGUGGCCUAAACUGGUACUGCAAUCACUAUAAAAAUACUGUAGAGCGGUGUAUCCCCUCCCCCUACCCCCUGACUCGAGGUGGCCAGAUGAGCUGCAGGAUUCAGCAGAA